CAUGCAAGUCGAACGAACUCUGGUAUUGAUUGGUGCUUGCAUCAUGAUUUACAUUUGAGUGAGUGGCGAACUGGUGAGUAACACGUGGGAAACCUGCCCAGAAGCGGGGGAUAACACCUGGAAACAGAUGCUAAUACCGCAUAACAACUUGGACCGCAUGGUCCGAGUUUGAAAGAUGGCUUCGGCUAUCACUUUUGGAUGGUCCCGCGGCGUAUUAGCUAGAUGGUGGGGUAAUGGCUCACCAUGGCAAUGAUACGUAGCCGACCUGAGAGGGUAAUCGGCCACAUUGGGACUGAGACACGGCCCAAACUCCUACGGGAGGCAGCAGUAGGGAAUCUUCCACAAUGGACGAAAGUCUGAUGGAGCAACGCCGCGUGAGUGAAGAAGGGUUUCGGCUCGUAAAACUCUGUUGUUAAAGAAGAACAUAUCUGAGAGUAACUGUUCAGGUAUUGACGGUAUUUAACCAGAAAGCCACGGCUAACUACGUGCCAGCAGCCGCGGUAAUACGUAGGUGGCAAGCGUUGUCCGGAUUUAUUGGGCGUAAAGCGAGCGCAGGCGGUUUUUUAAGUCUGAUGUGAAAGCCUUCGGCUCAACCGAAGAAGUGCAUCGGAAACUGGGAAACUUGAGUGCAGAAGAGGACAGUGGAACUCCAUGUGUAGCGGUGAAAUGCGUAGAUAUAUGGAAGAACACCAGUGGCGAAGGCGGCUGUCUGGUCUGUAACUGACGCUGAGGCUCGAAAGUAUGGGUAGCAAACAGGAUUAGAUACCCUGGUAGUCCAUACCGUAAACGAUGAAUGCUAAGUGUUGGAGGGUUUCCGCCCUUCAGUGCUGCAGCUAACGCAUUAAGCAUUCCGCCUGGGGAGUACGGCCGCAAGGCUGAAACUCAAAGGAAUUGACGGGGGCCCGCACAAGCGGUGGAGCAUGUGGUUUAAUUCGAAGCUACGCGAAGAACCUUACCAGGUCUUGACAUACUAUGCAAAUCUAAGAGAUUAGACGUUCCCUUCGGGGACAUGGAUACAGGUGGUGCAUGGUUGUCGUCAGCUCGUGUCGUGAGAUGUUGGGUUAAGUCCCGCAACGAGCGCAACCCUUAUUAUCAGUUGCCAGCAUUAAGUUGGGCACUCUGGUGAGACUGCCGGUGACAAACCGGAGGAAGGUGGGGAUGACGUCAAAUCAUCAUGCCCCUUAUGACCUGGGCUACACACGUGCUACAAUGGAUGGUACAACGAGUUGCGAACUCGCGAGAGUAAGCUAAUCUCUUAAAGCCAUUCUCAGUUCGGAUUGUAGGCUGCAACUCGCCUACAUGAAGUCGGAAUCGCUAGUAAUCGCGGAUCAGCAUGCCGCGGUGAAUACGUUCCCGGGCCUUGUACACACCGCCCGUCACACCAUGAGAGUUUGUAACACCCAAAGUCGGUGGGGUAACCUUUUAGGAACC
rnacentral:rRNA from 1 species